rnacentral:rRNA from 1 species
GAUGAACGCUGGCGGCGUGCCUAAUACAUGCAAGUCGAGCGAACGGACGAGAAGCUUGCUUCUCUGAUGUUAGCGGCGGACGGGUGAGUAACACGUGGAUAACCUACCUAUAAGACUGGGAUAACUUCGGGAAACCGGAGCUAAUACCGGAUAAUAUUUUGAACCGCAUGGUUCAAAAGUGAAAGACGGUCUUGCUGUCACUUAUAGAUGGAUCCGCGCUGCAUUAGCUAGUUGGUAAGGUAACGGCUUACCAAGGCAACGAUGCGUAGCCGACCUGAGAGGGUGAUCGGCCAAACUGGAACUGAGACACGGUCCAGACUCCUACGGGAGGCAGCAGUAGGGAAUCUUCCGCAAUGGGCGAAAGCCUGACGGAGCAACGCCGCGUGAGUGAUGAAGGUCUUCGGAUCGUAAAACUCUGUUAUUAGGGAAGAACAUAUGUGUAAGUAACUGUGCACAUCUUGACGGUACCUAAUCAGAAAGCCACGGCUAACUACGUG